AUGGAGGGUGAGCCAUUUGAGUUCAAGACAUGGGUGAGAGGUAAACAGAUUUCCUUCUCAAGAAAUGCAAUAAGUAAUUACCUUGGUAACCCUCUUCCCAUGGAAAAUGGCGAUCUUUGUGAAUACUAUAAGACGGUGAACAGAGGAAAAUGGAAUUUUAGGUUUGUUAAGGACAUGUUGGUGAUUUCUGGAAGGAGUUAUGAAUUAAAUAUUGCGGGGCAACCAUUGUAG